AUUUAAUUGAGAUAAUCUGAGGUUUAGGAUAGUAUGGGUGUCUUAUUCCAUCUCAGAUUGUAAAUAACAGAAAACCUAAGGUCCAGAUUUUCAAUCAAAUUUGCUGAGGAAUGCAGAUAACUAAUGUGAAUUUGUAUGUAAAAGAACAAAUCUAAAAGAUUUUAACUUAGGCCACAUCAAUUUGAUUUAUAGUUCUUUGGACAAAAACUCCAAAAAAUAUGGGGCGAGCGAAAUUUUUUUGAUUGUAAAAAAUUCUUGAAAAUGAGUUUUAAUGAGGCGGGUGCUCUACAAGAGGAGCGAGCGGUAUAAUUUUUUUUCAAAUUGUGCAAUUUAGAAAUUUAUGUACAUGUUAAAACUGGGAAACUUCUAAGAAAAGGGA
rnacentral:lncRNA from 1 species